UCUCUGGUGGCUUAGUGGUAAAGAAUCUGCCUGCCAAUGCAGGAGACACAGGUUCAAUCCCUGGUCCGGGAA
rnacentral:tRNA from 1 species